rnacentral:rRNA from 1 species
AGUGAACGCUGGCGGUAGGCCUAACACAUGCAAGUCGAACGGCAGCACAGUAAGAGCUUGCUCUUACGGGUGGCGAGUGGCGGACGGGUGAGGAAUACAUCGGAAUCUACUUUUUCGUGGGGGAUAACGUAGGGAAACUUACGCUAAUACCGCAUACGACCUACGGGUGAAAGCAGUGGAUCUUCGGACCUUGCGCGUUUGAAUGAGCCGAUGUCGGAUUAGCUAGUUGGCGGGGUAAAGGCCCACCAAGGCGACGAUCCGUAGCUGGUCUGAGAGGAUGAUCAGCCACACUGGAACUGAGACACGGUCCAGACUCCUACGGGAGGCAGCAGUGGGGAAUAUUGGACAAUGGGCGCAAGCCUGAUCCAGCAAUACCGCGUGGGUGAAGAAGGCCUUCGGGUUGUAAAGCCCUUUUGUUGGGAAAGAAAAGCAGCAGGUUAAUACCCCGCUGUUCUGACGGUACCCAAAGAAUAAGCACCGGCUAACUUCGUG